rnacentral:rRNA from 1 species
UGGUGGGGUAAGGGGGGACCAAGGCUACNAUCCGUAACUGGUCUGAUAGGAUGAUCACCCACAUCGGGACUGAGACACGGCCCGAACUCCUACGGGAGGCAGCAGUGGGGAAUAUUGGACAAUGGGGGCAACCCUGAUCCAGCCAUGCCGCGUGUGUGAAGAAGGCUUUCGGGUUGUAAAGCACUUUCAGUGAGGAGGAAAACCUUACGACUAAUACUCGUGAGGCUUGACGUUACUCGCAGAAGAAGCACCGGCUAACUCCGUGCCAGCAGCCGCGGUAAUACGGAGGGUGCAAGCGUUAAUCGGAAUUACUGGGCGUAAAGCGCGCGUAGGUGGUUUGAUAAGCGAGAUGUGAAAGCCCCGGGCUCAACCUGGGAACGGCAUUUCGAACUGUCAGGCUAGAGUAUGGUAGAGGAGUGUGGAAUUUCCUGUGUAGCGGUGAAAUGCGUAAAUAUAGGAAGG